rnacentral:rRNA from 1 species
CGCAAGCCUGACGGAGCGACGCUGCGUGCGGGAAGAAGGCCUUCGGGUUGUAAACCGCUGUCAGGGGUUAUGAAAUCCGCGUGGAGAUAAUCCGCGUGGUUGACAAAGGCCCCAGAGGAAGCCAUGGCUAACUCCGUGCCAGCAGCCGCGGUAAGACGGAGAUGGCAAGCGUUGUUCGGAAUCACUGGGCGUAAAGGGCGCGCAGGCGGCAAGGCAAGUUGGAUGUGGAAACGCUCGGCUCAACUGAGCGAUUGCGUCCAAAACUGCCUGGCUAGAGCACGGUAGGGGAGAGUGGAACUCUUGGUGGAGCGGUGAAAUGCGUAGAUAUCAAGAGGAACGCCGGCGGCGAAGGCGACUCUCUGGGCCGUUGCUGACGCUGAGGCGCGAAAGCCAGGGUAGCG